rnacentral:rRNA from 1 species
GACAGAGGUGCCAAGCGUUAGGCGGAAUCACUGGGCUUAAACGUGUGUAGGCGGGCGAUCAAGUUCCUUGUGAAAUCCCACGGCUUAACCGUGGAACUGCUGGGUAUACUGGUUGUCUUGAGCCAGCUAGGGGCGAGCGGAACAGACGGUGGAGCGGUGAAAUGCGUAGAUAUCGUCUGGAACGCCGAAGGUGAAAACAGCUCGCUGGGGCUGCGCUGACGCUGAGACACGAAAGCCAGGGGAGCGAACGGG